CCAUACCAGGAACAAUAAUCGUAAAUCUUGGCGAAACGAUGCAGAAAUGGAGUGGAGGAAGACUACGUGCAACGCGUCAUCGUGUAAUGCCACCUCGCGAUCAAAGUAACAGGAUGAAUACACGAAGAUCAAUCGCGUAUUUUGGCCAAGCUGAUGAUAACGCUUUGAUGGAGGAAUUCGAGUAUGAAGAUGGGUUUGGUCACAAAACAUCUAAUGAUGAAACCGACAAGAUUACAGUAAAGGAAUACACAGAUAGGCGUUUCAUGGAAGUAUUCCCGUAAUGGUGAUAAAAAGAAUAUGACUCACAAUUUUUAUUUUGAUCAAAAUGGAACAUUAGUAUAAGAUAGCCAGAGAUUACAGCAUGGAAAAUAUGUGAAAAUAGCUCAUCUGUAGUGAAUCUGUGAAUAAUUUCCGAAUAGUGAUCUGAUCUAAUCUAUCAAGCAAGUGGUCUCAUAAGACCUUUUUACUUCUAUGGUCAUCGGUAUAUCUAUCUAUCUACUCGAUGUGUUUACUUUUAGAAUUUGCAUUUUUCAAAAUUUUACCUUGUAAUCAGCACGUAAAUUGUGAUUAAAACAGCCAUGCAGAUGCUAAAAAUCUGUUGGUGAAAAUGUUUUGGUGCAAAUGUCCGUGGGUGCAAAAGUAUACAAGUGCAAAUGUACGCGGGUGCAAAUGUGCUGUCACCUACAGCAACUUUUAUAUGUUGUAAAGCAAAUUAGAAUAUGUUCAAUUUUUCUCGUCUCUCAGUGGUAUUGUGGUGAACCGAAUAUAUUCACAAUCAAAUGUAAACCUUAAUUAAACCGAUAAUAUUAUUUUCGAUUCUCAAAAAAAUUUUGCAAUGCCAUCACAUGAUUAUUACAAAAUAAAAUUCUCAACACCAGA